rnacentral:rRNA from 1 species
GAGCGCUGAAGGUUGGUACUUGUACCAACUGGAUGAGCAGCGAACGGGUGAGUAACGCGUGGGGAAUCUGCCUUUGAGCGGGGGACAACAUUUGGAAACGAAUGCUAAUACCGCAUAAAAACUUUAAACACAAGUUUUAAGUUUGAAAGAUGCAAUUGCAUCACUCAAAGAUGAUCCCGCGUUGUAUUAGCUAGUUGGUGAGGUAAAGGCUCACCAAGGCUAUGAUACAUAGCCGACCUGAGAGGGUGAUCGGCCACAUUGGGACUGAGACACGGCCCAAACUCCUACGGGAGGCAGCAGUAGGGAAUCUUCGGCAAUGGACGAAAGUCUGACCGAGCAACGCCACGUGAGUGAAGAAGGUUUUCGGAUCGUAAAACUCUGUUGGUAGAGAAGAACGUUGGUGAGAGUGGAAAGCUCAUCAAGUGACGGUAACUACCCAGAAAGGGACGGCUAACUACGUGCCAGCAGCCGCGGUAAUACGUAGGUCCCGAGCGUUGUCCGGAUUUAUUGGGCGUAAAGCGAGCGCAGGUGGUUUAUUAAGUCUGGUGUAAAAGGCAGUGGCUCAACCAUUGUAUGCAUUGGAAACUGGUAGACUUGAGUGCAGGAGAGGAUAGUGGAAUUCCAUGUGUAGCGGUGAAAUGCGUAGAUAUAUGGAGGAACACCGGUGGCGAAAGCGGCUCUCUGGCCUGUAACUGACACUGAGGCUCGAAAGCGUGGGGAGCAAACAGGAUUAGAUACCCUGGUAGUCCACGCCGUAAACGAUGAGUGCUAGAUGUAGGGAGCUAUAAGUUCUCUGUAUCGCAGCUCACGCACUAAGCACUCCGCCUGGGGAGUACGACCGCAAGGUUGAAACUCACAGGAAUUGACGGGGGCCCGCACAAGCGGUGGAGCAUGUGGUUUAAUUCUAAGCAACGCGAAGAACCUUACCAGGUCUUGACAUACUCGUGCUAUUCCUAGAAGAUAGGAAGUUCCUUCGGGACACGGGAUACAGGUGGGUGCAUGGUUGUCGUCAGCUCGUGUCGUGAGAUGUUUGGGUUAAGUCCCGCAACGAGCGCAACCCCCUAUUGUUAGUUGCCAUCAUUUAAUUUGGGCACUCUAACGAAAACUGCCGGUGAUAAACCCGAAGAAAGGGUGGGGGAUGAACUCCAAAUCCUCCAUGGCCCCUUAUG